UACGUAGGGGGCAAGCGUUGUCCGGAUUUAUUGGGCGUAAAGAGCGUGUAGGCGGCCAGAUAGGUCAGCUGUGAAAACUCGAGGCUCAACCUCGAGACGUCGGUUGAAACCAUCUGGCUAGAGUCCGGAAGAGGAGAGUGGAAUUCCCGGUGUAGCGGUGAAAUGCGCAGAUAUCGGGAAGAACACCCGUGGCGAAGGCGGCUCUCUGGGACGGUGCUGACGCUGAGACGCGAAAGCGUGGGGAGCGAACAGG
rnacentral:rRNA from 1 species